rnacentral:rRNA from 1 species
UAGGGAAUCUUCGGCAAUGGACGGAAGUCUGACCGAGCAACGCCGCGUGAGUGAAGAAGGUUUUCGGAUCGUAAAGCUCUGUUGUAAGAGAAGAACGAGUGUGAGAGUGGAAAGUUCACACUGUGACGGUAUCUUACCAGAAAGGGACGGCUAACUACGUGCCAGCAGCCGCGGUAAUACGUAGGUCCCGAGCGUUGUCCGGAUUUAUUGGGCGUAAAGCGAGCGCAGGCGGUUAGAUAAGUCUGAAGUUAAAGGCUGUGGCUUAACCAUAGUACGCUUUGGAAACUGUUUAACUUGAGUGCAAGAGGGGAGAGUGGAAUUCCAUGUGUAGCGGUGAAAUGCGUAGAUAUAUGGAGGAACACCGGUGGCGAAAGCGGCUCUCUGGCUUGUAACUGACGCUGAGGCUCGAAAGCGUGGGGAGCAAACAGGAUUAGAUACCCUGGUAGUCCACGCCGUAAACGAUGAGUGCUAGGUGUUAGACCCUUUCCGGGGUUUAGUGCCGUAGCUAGCGCAUUAAGCACUCCGCCUGGGGAGUACGACCGCAAGGUUG